GUACAAAUUAAUUCGUACAAUUUUAAUGUCAUUUUCAUUCUCGCUGGACUAGCUCAAAGCCACGUCGAAAUAAUUAGAUAACAAAAUAAAAUAAUAAGAAACAAUUACCGAUGAUAUUCUAUACUUGAAAAGAAAACGAUCUAAUUCAUGCUUAUUAUAGUAGUAUUGACGUGAGUAGAGUUAUAAAAUUAAUAUUAGAAAAGUAUUAGGACAAACAUGAUUAAGAUUUAUGAGUAAAGGUGGCAAAGCUAAUAGAUUAGAUUAACCUGGUCAGUUCCAUUUUUAUAUCAUCAAUGGGUAACAAUGAGAUUUAUCAUGGAUGUUGAUGUUCAAAGAGUUUUUCCUGUAUUUUAGUUUGUAUACAGUUGUUUUGUAGUUUUAUUAUAGUUUUGCUACUUGCAUAUGUUAUUUCACUAUUGUAAUACCCUGGAAUUAAGGAAAUGGAUUAGCAAAGCCCUAACUAGUUAAUUGAGUAUUAUUGUAGAAUUAUAUUAUAUUAUAAUUUAUUAUAUGCGAAUUAAUAUGAGAAAUGACAUGUUAAGACCCCGUUGGUGAGUUAGGGGCAUUUUAGUAAUUUUGACCCGAGAAGGGUAAAACUGUGAAUUUAAUUUAUUUAUGUGCUUAUGAACUAUAUUAUUAUAUAGUAUAUCUGGUGUGUCCUUUUUCAGGUGUGUUCUGACAAGUUGGCGCGGUAUAGUCACAAUCGGGUAUUUCGGGCUAAACCGGGUUCGGGGCCGAAAUAUAAUUUUGGGAUAAAUUAUUGGCAUUUUAUUUAUGUGUGAAUAAUCUGAAAUUAUUUAAAUAUGUGUUAUAUAUGAAAUGAAUUCAAUGCCCUUGAUUGUUUGAGUAUGUGAGAAAUGGCCCUAGGGGCAAAAUGGUAAAUUGUAUUUUUGGAUUUAUUUUCAACUAAAGGCAUUAUUUGUAAAAAAAUGAAAUUCAUUUUCUGCAUUUACCUUAACCCUAAAACAGCCCCCUUCCCUCUCUCUCUCUAUCUCUCUUUGUAUUUGGUUGAAAAAUUGGUGAUUUGCUUGGUAUUCAAGCUUGAAAUUGAAGAAUUGUUUGAGGAGUUGUGGCUUGAUCAUUGCAUUGAAGCUUGAGGAUUACCGGCACUUGGUCAAGAGCACCCGGGGAUUUGGAAUCUCCAUAUUUGUGGGACAUCAGGAAAGGGUAAAUCUAUCUCUGAUCAGCCAUGAGUAUGGGAGUUGGGCGAUGUAUGUACAUGUUCGGGCCACACUAGACCAAGCGGGUUGGGGUCUACCUGCGUUGAAACUUUUGUAACUCUAUUUUUGCCGCUUAGGUCGGCUAAGGAGAAAAGACUUGUAAUAUUUUGUAAAAUGAUUUUUUUUUUUGGAUCCCGAAACAUGUAACUUUUGUUUGUAAGGUUAAAAUUAUUACAAGUUUAUUUUCA